rnacentral:rRNA from 1 species
UACGUAGGGUGCGAGCGUUGUCCGGAAUUACUGGGCGUAAAGAGCUCGUAGGUGGUUUGUCGCGUUGUUCGUGAAAUCUCACAACUCAAUUGUGAGCGUGCGGGCGAUGCGGGCAGACUGGAGUACUGCAGGGGAGACUGGAAUUCCUGGUGUAGCGGUGGAAUGCGCAGAUAUCAGGAGGAACACCGGUGGCGAAGGCGGGUCUCUGGGCAGUAACUGACGCUGAGGAGCGAAAGCGUGGGGAGCGAACAGG